CGCGGGCAGGGCCGGGGGCCGGCAGUGUGCGCGUCACUGUCGGCUGCGGCUUCUCUUGUUUUGACAGUCGCGCUAGGCGCUAAACCACGUAUCUCUGAACGAUGAGCAGGCUUGCAGUGUCAUCAUCAUCAUCAUUAUCAUCAUCAUCAAUCUGCUUCCUUGUUACCUCCACCCCCCUCCCCCGAGAAGGCCUGGUGGACCCUUCUGUAUGUUCUCCUUCAGGAAAAAAAAAAAAAAGACUGGAGAAAAGUGCUCAGUCAUAUGUCAUCAUAAGUAUAAAAAAACAGAAAGAUGGAUGUCCCUUAGAGAAACACUGAAUGUGUUCUUACCUGCUGAAGUUUGCGGUUUUUUGCUGGAUUUGUGAAUCCAGAAAUUGGAGAAAACAGAAAACAAGAGUUGUGUUGGGCAUGGAAGCAAAGCCACAUCUGGACUCAGAUUUUAGAUUUUGCAGAGGCUGUUUUGGAGGCUGAUGUAAUAAACCUUUCUUAUUUUCAGAAAUGGCUCUUCUU
ensembl:lncRNA